CCGAGAAUAUUCGACAAUGGGCGAAAGCCUGAUCGAGCGAUACCGCGUGGUGGAUGAAGCGAUUCGUCGCGUAAACACCUUUUAUGAGGGAGGAAGUUAUUGACGUUACCUCAUGAAUAAGGGGCUCCUAACUCUGUGCCAGCAGGAGCGGUAAUACAGAGGCCCCGAGCGUUACCCGGAAUUACUGGGCGUAAAGAGUGCGUAGGUGGUCGUGUUAGUCGUUUGUUAAAUCCUCCCGCUCAACGGGAGAUCUGCAAGCGAAACGGCACAACUAGAGAGCGUGAGAGGUGAAUGGAACUCAUGGUGUAGGGGUGAAAUCCGUUGAUAUCAUGGGGAACACCGAAAGCGAAGGCAAUUCACUGGCGCGUUUCUGACACUCAAGCACGAAAGCGUGGGUAGCGAACGGGAUUAGAUACCCCCGUAGUCC
rnacentral:rRNA from 1 species